GACGAACGCUGGCGGCGUGCCUAAUACAUGGAAGCCGAACGCUUUUGUUUUCACCGGAGCUUGCUCCACCGAAAACAAAAGAGUGGCGGACGGGUGAGUAACACGUGGGUAACCUGCCCUCAAGCGGGGGAUAACACUUGGAAACAGGUGCUAAUACCGCAUAACAAUCAGAAUCGCAUGAUUUUGAUUUGAAAGGCGCUUUUGCGUCACUUGAGGAUGGACCCGCGGUGCAUUAGCUAGUUGGUGAGGUAACGGCUCACCAAGGCCACGAUGCAUAGCCGACCUGAGAGGGUGAUCGGCCACACUGGGACUGAGACACGGCCCAGACUCCUACGGGAGGCAGCAGUAGGGAAUCUUCGGCAAUGGACGAAAGUCUGACCGAGCAACGCCGCGAUGAGUGAAGAAGGUCUUUCGGAUCGUAAAACUCUGUUGUUAGAGAAGAACAAGGGUGAGAGUAGAAUGUUCACCCCUUGACGGUAUCUAACCCAGAAGGCCACGGCUACGUGCCA
rnacentral:rRNA from 1 species